AAAAUAAUGUCGUUCUACGUUCAAGCUUUGUGUUUGUCUUAGGAUCAUAAAUAUUUGGAAUGCAUAAAUCCUUGUUUCAAAAAACCGUGUGCGCAACAAAUCAGGGUACUAUUGCAUCCCCGAUAACUACGAUCCGUACAACUGUCUAUUAAAACGAAAUAAAUGUAAAAUGUUACAAAUUAAAAGAAAAAAAAAAUGCAUUUACU
rnacentral:lncRNA from 1 species